rnacentral:rRNA from 1 species
UGGGGAAUAUUGCACAAUGGGCGAAAGCCUGAUGCAGCAACGCCGCGUGAGUGAUGAAGGCCUUCGGGUUGUAAAGCUCUGUCUUUUGGGACGAUAAUGACGGUACCAAAGGAGGAAGCCACGGCUAACUACGUGCCAGCAGCCGCGGUAAUACGUAGGUGGCAAGCGUUGUCCGGAUUUACUGGGCGUAAAGGAUGCGUAGGCGGAUUUUUAAGUGAGAUGUGAAAUACCCGGGCUUAACUUGGGUGCUGCAUUUAAACUGGGAAUCUAGAGUGCGGGAGAGGAGAAUGGAAUUCCUAGUGUAGCGGUGAAAGUGCGUAGAGAUUAGGAAGAACACCAGUGGCGAAGGCGAUUCUCUGGACCGUAACUGACGCUGAGGCAUGAAAGCGUGGGUAGCAAAACAGGAUUAGAUACCCUGGUAGUCCACGCCGUAAACGAUGAGUACUAGGUGUAGGAGGUAUCGACCCCUUCUGUGCCGCAGUUAACACAAUAAGUACUCCGCCUGGGAAGUACGAUCGCAAGAUUAAAACUUAAAGGAAUUGACGGGGGUCAUAGCUGUUUCCU